UACGUAGGGAGCAAGCGUUGUCCGGAAUCAUUGGGCGUAAAGCGCGCGUAGACGGCCCGGUAAGUCCGCUGUGAAAGUCGGGGGCUCAACCCUCGGAUGCCGGUGGAUACUGUCGGGCUAGAGUGCGGGAGAGGCGAGUGGAAUUCCUGGUGUAGCGGUGAAAUGCGCAGAUAUCAGGAGGAACACCAAUUGCGAAGGCAGCUCGCUGGAACGUAACUGACGCUGAGACGCGAAAGCGUGGGGAGCAAACAGG
rnacentral:rRNA from 1 species